UAUUUUAAGAGUUAUCACCAUUAUUAUAGUGCGUAGUUAACUACGCACUCCUACGCACAAUUUAGGACUCCAUAUCUCUUAAAAUAUUGAAGAUAAAAAUGAAGUACUAAAACAUUUUUUAUAGGAAAUUUCUUAAGCUACAAUAUUAGUCUCCUA